rnacentral:rRNA from 1 species
UACAAGGAUAACUGUGGUAAUUCUAGAGCUAAUACAUGCAGAACGGGUGCACUUAUUAGAGCAAAACCAAUAUUGGUGAAUCUGAAUAACUACGGUCCUAGUACCGGCGACGUAUCCUUCAAGUGUCUGCCUUAUCAACUUUCGAUGGUAGUUUAUACGCCUACCAUGGUUGUAACGGGUAACGGAAAAUCAGGGUUUGAUUCCGGAGAGGGCGCCCGAGAAAUGGCGACCACUUCUAAGGAAGGCAGCAGGCGCGUAACUUACCCACUCUCAGAGAGGAGGUAGUGACGAAAAAUAUCGAGCCGGCGGCUUUGGCAUCGGAAUGAGAACAAUAUAAACGUGUUAUCGAGUAACUAGCAGAGGGCAAGUCUGGUGCCAGCAGCCGCGGUAAUUCCAGCUCUGCAAGUGUAUAUCAAUGUUGCUGUGGUUAAAAAGCCCGUAGUUGGAUCUGCCCCGGGUCCGGUCCGGCCAUGUGCUGCGCUGCCGGUCUCGCCCCGAUGCCCUUAACCGGGUGUCGUGGCCGGCUGGCGAGUUUACUUUGAAAAAAUUAGAGUGCUCAAAACAGGCGCCACGCCUGAAUACUUCUGCAUGGAAUAAUGGAAUAGGAGGUUCUGUUUUAUUGGUUUUACGAGCGCGAGGUAAUGAUUAAGAGGAACAGACGGGGGCAUUCGUAUUCCGACGUUAGAGGUGAAAUUCUUGGA